rnacentral:sRNA from 1 species
CUUGGUCAUUUAGAGGAAGUAAAAGUCGUAACAAGGUUUCCGUAGGUGAACCUGCGGAAGGAUCAUUCAUAAUAAGUGUUUAUGGCACUUCUUAAAUCCAUAUCCACCUUGUGUGCAAUGUCAGCCGUUUUCUUUAUGAAAGCGGCCAAACAUCAACUUAUUUUUUAACUGUCUGUCUGAAAACUAUUAUGAAUAAACAAUUCAAAUACAACUUUCAACAACGGAUCUCUUGGCUCUCGCAUCGAUGAAGAACGCAGCGAAAUGCGAUACGUAAUGUGAAUUGCAGAAUUCAGUGAAUCAUCGAAUCUUUGAACGCAUAUUGCGCUCUUUGGUAUUCCGAAGAGCAUGCUUGUUUGAGUAUCAGUAAACACCUCAACCUCUCUUUUUUGAUAAAAAAAAGGGAGGGUGGACUUGAGCUAUCCCAACGACCUUCACCGGUAGGCGGGCGGCUUGAAAUGCAGGUGCAGCUGGACUUUUAUCUGAGCUAAAAGCAUAUCUAUUUAGUCCUCGUCAAACAGGAUUAUUACUUUUGCUGCAGCUAACAUAAAGGAUAAUUGUCCUCUUUGCUGACUGAUGCAGGAUUUUACGACACUUUAUGUGUUGUUCAACUCGAUCUCAAAUCAAGUAAGACUACCCGCUGAACUUAAGCAUAUCAAUAAGCGGAGGAAAAGAAACUAACAAGGAUUCCCCUAGUAACGGCGAGUGAAGCGGGAUGAGCUCAAAUUUGAAAUCUGGCUGGUUUACUAGUCCGAGUUGUAAUUUAAAGAAGCGUUUUCGGUGGCAGCCUGGGUAUAAAUCCUUUGGAAUAGGGUAUCAUAGAGGGUGAGAAUCCCGUCUUUGACCUAGUGCAUGCUACUAUGUGAUACGUUUUCAAAGAGUCGAGUUGUUUGGGAAU